rnacentral:rRNA from 1 species
UACGAAGGGGGCUAGCGUUGCUCGGAAUCACUGGGCGUAAAGGGUGCGUAGGCGGGUCUUUUAAGUCAGGGGUGAAAUCCUGGAGCUCAACUCCAGAACUGCCUUUGAUACUGAGGAUCUUGAGUUCGGGAGAGGUGAGUGGAACUGCGAGUGUAGAGGUGAAAUUCGUAGAUAUUCGCAAGAACACCAGUGGCGAAGGCGGCUCACUGGCCCGAUACUGACGCUGAGGUGCGAAAGCGUGGGGAGCGAACAGG